UCCCUGGUGGAAUGUGGCCUCUGGGGCAGGAGGCAGAUGUUAGAGUGCAAAGAGCCCUGGACCGAGAGUGGCAGUUUCUUGAGCUCUUGCCACAAGCCCUGGCCUUCUCAGCUGUAGAAAAUUACGAAGAUGAGGAAGAUGCAGAAGAUGUAGAGUCACUGGCCAUUAUUCACAGAUACCAAGUACUGCUGGAACUAAGAAAAGAUAUUCCCCAAAAGAAAGAGAAAUAAAAAAAAAAGAAA